rnacentral:lncRNA from 1 species
CAAUAAUACUGAACUCCUAGGAAAAUUCAAAACGGAAAGUCCCUAAUCAAAUGGCAAAAUCAAAUGAUAAAACACAUCAAACGAAUGGACAACAACGGUCAUAUUCUUGACUUGGGACAGGCAUUUACAAAUGCAGAAAAUGGUGGACUGAACCCGGUUUUAUAGGAAGAUUAUGUAUGGGGAGAAUCCACAUCUGAUUGUCACCGCAUGUUAUUAGGCCGCCAUGUUUUAGGAUAGAAAGAUGUUUAGUCUACACGCGCUGGUGUAUAUGUCUGUGGUUCUUUAUAUAUAAAGCAUUACCUCAUUAUAUAUAUAAACACAUGCACAAUAUCAACGGUUUUAUAACGGUAUAAAAUUACAAAAGAGCAAAAAACUAAAGAGUAUGUUAAAUGGCUUUUUCUUUAACUUCAAGGAACUUAACACUUUCUAAUUGUUGAAAAAAAAGAUAUAUCCACC